rnacentral:rRNA from 1 species
ACGGGGGGUGCAAGCGUUGUUCGGAAUCAUUGGGCGUAAAGCGCGUGUAGGCGGCUUGGUAAGUCAGGUGUGAAAGCCCUGGGCUCAACCCAGGAAGUGCACUUGAAACUGCCUUGCUUGAGUACGGGAGAGGAAAGCGGAAUUCCUGGUGUAGGGGUGAAAUUCGAUAAUAUCGGGAGGAACACCGGUGGAGGAGGCGGCUAACUGGGACGAUACUGACGCUGAGAAGGGAAAGCGUGGGGAGCAAACAG